rnacentral:lncRNA from 1 species
CUUCAAUGGGGCACGGCACACCUGGGAGCAGAGAGCAUUUACAGAAGCCAGACACCGUGUGCCAACCUGUGUCAACAGGCUCAUGCUCAAGGGGCUGCACGUGGCAGCAGGGAGCACUGCGAGCGGCAGUGAGGGGCCCUCUCUGACGGUGCAGAUGCUUUUUGGCUGAUGGAGACCUCUACGGAGGUUCUCAGGAGCCCCUCAGCGAGGCGGGUGAGCAAGGAGAGGGGCUGUGAUAGCGAUGAGUUAUAUGUGAAAAGAAAAACUGCUUUUGUGGAGGUUGAUUGUGCACUGGGCAUUUCAUUCACUCAUUCCUCAGAUACUCAUUGAGUGCCUGCUGGGUGCAGGACCUCUUCCAGUGCUUCAGUUAUAGCGAGGGAAGCAGGCAGUUCACAGGUGAAUAAGCCAGUUUAUGAGAGAAGUUCAGAUCAUCCUAAGAGCUCUGGAAGAAAAUGAUAAAGAAGGUACUUCCAGGCCUGCCAAAGCCCCUGUCUUGGUAAGGGUCCCCAGAGAAGGUACACAGAGACCCAAGCCAGCAGCCAGGGAUGGUGCCAUUGCAUCUCUGCACCCACUUCCUCAGAUCCAGGCCUGAGAACACAAGCACCCUUCCUCCUCCCCACCAGGACCAGAUAGCCCAGCACUUUCCGCCAUUGUCUGGGAGUUUUGGAACCACUGACUGACUCUUCGAGCACCAGGCUUUUCCCUUGGUCCUCAGCACUGGGUGGGGAGCCCUACAUCCCAGAAGUCUUGGGAAACAGGGUGGAGCGGAAUCGCCUAUCACAGCCAAACAAGACUCUCCAGGAGGAAAUACAGCAGAGACCUGCUCAGGGCUUAGCAAACAGUGACAAAGGUGAGGUGAAGCCAGUCUGGACGCACACCAGUUCGGGAUGAUCUGAGGAAUGUCAGGCAGUCCCUAUAUCCUCAGAUGUGUCCCCAUCCACCUGGCACAUGUCUGGAACUUCGCCAUUACAGAGACUUCAGUGUCUGCUUUUUUUUUUUAUUUUUAAAUUAAUUAAUUAUUUAUUUAUUUUUAAAAUAGAGAUGGGGUCUUGAUAAGUUGCUCAGGCGGGUCUCGAAUUCCUGGGCUCAAGCGAUUCGCCCACCUCAGCCUCCCAAAAUGCUGGGAUUACAGGCGUGAGCCACCGCACCCAGCCCAGUGUCUGCUUUUAAGAUGCACUGUUUGGAAAGUCAGGUGAUUCAACAUUGCAGCCACAUAAACCAGGUCUGAGUUUGCAUGUCACCCCUGACUGGGUCAAGAGUGGGUGUGUUUUGGUAAUGGGGGCAUUUAGAAGCAGGGGCACUGCCAGGAAAGGAGGCAGCCUGAGAACGCUGUUCUAUGUGACAGGAAUCCUCAGGAUCAAAGGCCUUAAGACAACAGUUGUGACCUCACAGAUAAACCCCAGAGCAGACACUGGGGCCAGGUAUCUGGGACAGGAAGUGGCUGUGAGAAGCAGGAACCAAUGUAAAACCCCUCAACAGCCUCAGCAUUUCCAAGGGCUCAGUCUUCAUAGAAAUGGGUUACUAGGACAUAUCACCUAUGGGUAGCAUUUGGGGAAAUCCUUCAGGGUCCAUGUGGACAGGAUGUUUGGGGGUUCACAUUUAUAGCAAACACACAGCACAGAAGCCACUACUGCUGCCUCCUAGCCCAUGGCAGACACUGACAUUGCCAAUCUAUCACCAUACCGCUGCGGAGCCCUUCUCCCCACAGUGAUCCAAAAAGUCACUGCCAAUCUAUCAGAAUUAGCACGAGGCCAGGUGCCAU